UGGGGAAUCUUGCGCAAUGGGCGAAAGCCUGACGCAGCGACGCCGCGUGGGUGAUGAAGGCCUUCGGGUUGUAAAGCCCUGUGGGGAGAGAAGAAGAGCUCUGUGUGAAUAGCGCGGAGUGUGACGGUAUCUCCUUAGCAAGCACCGGCUAACUCUGUGCCAGCAGCCGCGGUAAGACAGAGGGUGCAAACGUUGUUCGGAAUUACUGGGCGUAAAGCGCGUGUAGGCGGCUAUGCAAGUCGGAUGUGAAAGCCCCGGGCUCAACCCGGGAAGUGCAUACGAUACUGCGAAGCUGGAGUCUCGGAGAGGAUGGUGGAACUCUCGGUGUAGAGGUGAAAUUCGUAGAUAUCGGGAAGAACACCUGUGGCGAAGGCGGCCAUCUGGACGGUGACUGACGCUG
rnacentral:rRNA from 1 species